rnacentral:rRNA from 1 species
AGUGCAUGUGGUGGAUGCCUUGGCGAUCACAGGCGAUGAAGGACGUGCGAGCCUGCGAAAAGCUCCGGGGAGCUGGCAACGAAGCUUUGAUCCGGAGAUGUCCGAAUGGGGAAACCCACCCUUCGGGGUACCCUGUCCUGAAUACAUAGGGGCAGUGGAGCGAACCGGGUGAACUGAAACAUCUCAGUAGCUCGAGGAAAAGAAAUCAACCGAGAUUCCCAAAGUAGUGGCGAGCGAAAUGGGACGAGCCUGCGCGAUUUAGCGGAACUGUUAGAAGAACGGAUUGGAAACUCCGGCCAUAGAGGGUGAUAGCCCCGUAUUUGAAAACAGAUUUGUGGAACUAGGCGCGCGACAAGUAGGGCGGGACACGUGUAAUCCUGUCUGAAGAUGGGGGGACCAGUCCUCCAAGGCUAAAUACUCGUGAUCGACCGAUAGUGAACCAGUACCGUGAGGGAAGGCGAAAAGAACCCGGAGGGAGUGAAUAGAUCCUGAACCGCAUGCAUAC